UACGGGGGGGGCAAGCGUUGUUCGGAAUUACUGGGCGUAAAGGGCUCGUAGGCGGCCAACUAAGUCAGACGUGAAAUCCCUCGGCUUAACCGGGGAACUGCGUCUGAUACUGGAUGGCUUGAGAUUGGGAGAGGGAUGCGGAAUUCCAGGUGUAGCGGUGAAAUGCGUAGAGAUCUGGAAGAACACCAAAGGCGAAGGCAGCAUUCUGGCUCGUAACUGACGCUCAUGUGCGAAAGCUAGGGGAGCGAACGGG
rnacentral:rRNA from 1 species